rnacentral:rRNA from 1 species
CCUACGGGAGGCAGCAGUCGAGAAUCUUUCACAAUGGGGGAAACCCUGAUGGUGCGACGCCGCGUGGGGGAAUGAAGGUCUUCGUAUUGUAAACCCCUGUCAUGUGGGAGCAAAUUAAAACGCGAGUACCCCAAGAGGAAGAGACGGCUAACUCUGUGCCAGCAGCCGCGUUAAUACAGAGGUCUCAAGCGUUGUUCGGAAUCACUGGGCGUAAAGCGUGCGUAGGAUGGUUCGUAAGGCGUGUGUGAAAGGCGCGGGCUCAACCCGCGGACGGCACAUGAUACUGCGAGACUAGAGUAAUGGAGGGGGAACCGGAAUUCGCGGUGUAGCAGUGAAAUGCGUAGAUAUCGAGAGGAACACUGGUGGCGAAGGCGGGUUCCUGGACAUUAACUGACGCUGAGGCACGAAGGCCAGGGGAGCGAAAGGGAUUAGAUACCCGUGUAGUC